rnacentral:rRNA from 1 species
GACAGAGGGGGGCAAGCGUUGCUCGGAAUUACUGGGCGUAAAGGGCGCGUAGGCGGGAUGGCAAGUCGGUCGUGAAAUCCCUCGGCUCAACCGAGGAACGUCGAUCGAUACUGCUGUUCUUGAGGAUUGCAGAGGAGACUGGAAUUCCCGGUGUAGCGGUGAAAUGUGUAGAGAUCGGGAGGAACACCGGUGGCGAAGGCGGGUCUCUGGGCAAUGACCUGACGCUGAGGCGCGAAAGCGUGGGGGAGCGAAACAGGG